AGUGAACGCUGGCGGUAGGCCUAACACAUGCAAGUCGAACGGCAGCACAGUAAGAGCUUGCUCUUACGGGUGGCGAGUGGCGGACGGGUGAGGAAUACAUCGGAAUCUACUUUUUCGUGGGGGAUAACGUAGGGAAACUUACGCUAAUACCGCUUACGACCUACGGGUGAAAGCAGGGGAUCUUCGGACCUUGCGCGAUUGAAUGGGCCGAUGUCGGAUUAGCUAGUUGGCGGGGUAAAGGCCCACCAAGGCGACGAUCCGUAGCUGGUCUGAGAGGAUGAUCAGCCACACUGGAACUGAGACACGGUCCAGACUCCUACGGGAGGCAGCAGUGGGGAAUAUUGGACAAUGGGCGCAAGCCUGAUCCAGCCAUACCGCGUGGGUGAAGAAGGCCUUCGGGUUGUAAAGCCCUUUUGUUGGGAAAGAAAAGCAGCAGGUUAAUACCCCGCUGUUCUGACGGUACCCAAAGAAUAAGCACCGGCUAACUUCGUG
rnacentral:rRNA from 1 species